rnacentral:rRNA from 1 species
UACGGAGGGUGCAAGCGUUAUCCGGAUUCACUGGGCUUAAAGGGUGCGUAGGCGGGCAAGUAAGUCAGUGGUGAAAUCUCCGGGCUUAACCCGGAAACUGCCAUUGAUACUAUUUGUCUUGAAUACUGUGGAGGUCAGCGGAAUAUGUCAUGUAGCGGUGAAAUGCUUAGAUAUGACAUAGAACACCUAUUGCGAAGGCAGCUUACUACGCAUAUAUUGACGCUGAGGAACGAAAGCGUGGGGAGCAAACAGG